rnacentral:misc_RNA from 1 species
CAACCAUCAAGCCCCCGGGCUUGCGUUGGGGCCCUGCGGCUACCGCAGGCCCCUAAAAGCAGUGGCGGGCUCGCUGUCACACCGAGCGCAGUAGCGAUAUUCGCUCCGGGCGUCGGCGGCGGGCACCGGCCGUGAAACCCCCCAUUUCUCAA